UCCUUGUUGGUAUAGUGGUAAGUAUCCCUGUCUGUUACGCGUGAGACCGGGGUUUGAUUCCCUGAUGGGGAG
rnacentral:tRNA from 1 species